UAACACGGGGGGGGCGAGCGUUGUCCGGAAUCACUGGGCGUAAAGGGCGCGUAGGCGGGAUGGCAAGUCGGAGGUGAAAAUCCCGGGCUUAACCUGGGACUUGCCCUCGAAACUGCUGUUCUUGAGUGCGGGAGAGGGAGGUGGAAUUCCUGGUGUAGCGGUGAAAUGCGUAGAUAUCAGGAAGAACACCGGUAGCGAAGGCGGCCUCCUGGCCCGUCACUGACGCUGAGGCGCGAAAGCGUGGGGAGCAAACAGGAUUAGAUACCCUGGUAGUCCACGCUGUAACGAUGGGUGCUAGGUGUUGGUUCGUCAGAAUCAGUGCCGCAGCUAACGCAUUAAGCACCCCGCCUGGGGAGUACGGCCGCAAGGUUG
rnacentral:rRNA from 1 species